rnacentral:rRNA from 1 species
CCAAGGAGUCUAACAUAUGCGCGAGUCACUCAGUCUUGAAUAGGCUUGAAGGGCGAAAUGAAAGUAAAAGGUAUGAUCCCCAUGUCUUCCUUGUGAAGCUGGGGCGCAAUACCGACCCGCUUAUUCUGCUUUUUGUCAGUUUAGCGGAGUUUGAGCGUAUAUGUUGGUACCCGAAAGAUGGUGAACUAUGCUUGGGCAAGACGAAGCCAGAGGAAACUCUGGUGGAGGUCUGUAGCGAUUCUGACGUGCAAAUCGAUCGUCAGACCUGAGUAUAGGGGCGAAAGACUAAUCGAACCAUC